rnacentral:lncRNA from 1 species
GAGUUGUCUGUCUGGUUCUUUCUCUUGGACACAGGAUCUCUUUGUGAACCUGUAGCUCACUGAUUAGGGGAGAGCUGGUGGCAACAGAGUCCCAGAAAUCCUCCUGUCUCUUCCUUGGCAGCACUGUGAUUGCAAGAACACACCUGACAUUUUUUAUUAUAAUAAUAAUUAGAUAUUUUUAUUUACAUUUCAAAUGUUAUCCCUUUCCUAGUUUCCCCUCCGAAAAUCCCCUAUCCUCUCCCCCCUCCUCCUGCUCCCUAACCCACCCACUCCCACUUCUUGGUCCAGGCAUUCCCCUAUACUGGGGCAUAGAACCUUCACAGGACCAAGGGCCUCUCCUCCCAUUGAUGAACAACUAGGUCAUCCUCUGCUACAUACGCAGCUAGAGCCAUGAGUCUCUCCGUGUGUUUUCUUUGGUUGAUGGUUUAGUCCCAGGGAGCUCUGGGGUUACUGAUUAGUUCAUAUUGUUGUUCCUCCUAGGGGGCUGGAAGCACAGAGUACCCAAUGAAGGAGCUAGAGAAAGCACACCUGACUUCUUAUGUGUGUCGGAGAUCCACACUUAGUCUUGAUGCUUGUGCCGCAAGCGCUUUCCUGACUGAACCAUUUCCUCAGCCCCAUGGGCUUUGAUCUUCGGCAUGUUCAUAGCAUUUUAAAUGAUUGUAUUUUCCUGGUGAACUAACCCCUGUAUCAUCAGAGGGUAGCUCCACCCUUCCAAAUCUCUUGUCAUUCUUUCUGUCCUACCUUAUGUGUAGUUGGUUUAUUUUAUGUUUCUGUGUUUUGGGGUGAAAAUUGUGUGCAGAGAACAGACAGGCUUAGGCUUGGCUCAGGCUGGCUCAGGUACCACACUCAUCUCUUCAAUAGCCUCUCUCCAACUCCACCAAGCCCCCAAAUAGUCACUGUAUCACUGUAAAGAACCCUUGGAGCCCAGCAUAUGAUUCACCUGAUUGGACCCCUCCCCCCCCCCCCCCCCAGCUCUGACAGACACCAGGAAAGCAACAGACGCAAUGUCUCAAGACCUAAAUUUGUAGCUCCUGGUGUUUCACCAAGGGCUGGCUUUAAUUUAGGAGACAUUCAAGAUGAUUUAAAGCAAUUGCUUUCAAGCUUCCUUGAGGCUUAGAUUCCCUUAUGAGUUGAUGAAAGCUCUGGACUCUCUUCGGGGGGGGGGGGGGAGCCACAAACAUAUACUUUUAAACAAUCCUGGCCCAUUCAGUGUAUCUCUCAAAGCUGUGAGUGUGCCUCUGUUUAAACAUCUAUGUUAUAAAUGCCAGGGAGUGAAAGGAAGUCUUCACUUAUGUAUUCUUUCAUUUAUGUAUGCAUUUGUAUCUUAGUUUGUUUAAUUGUUAUUUUAAACAGUAGCUCACUCUGUAGUCCUAGCUGAGACAGAACUCACUAUGUGUAUCUAUCUCAUCUUGAAUUACAGGUGAUCCUCUUACCCCAGCUUCUUUAGAUAAGGAUUAUCGGCAUGAAUCACCAUACCUGGUAGAGAUUGAGACUUUAAAUGAUUUCAAACUGAUUUGUCAGAAGACAGAUUGUGAAAUUCUGGCAGAAAAUUGGCUGCACAGCAAGCUGGUAGGCAGCAUUCUUUCAUGGUCUCUGCUUCAGAUCUUGCCUUUGGGUCCCUGCCUUGAUUUCCUGUGAUGAUGGACUUACAAAGCAUAAUGUGAAGUGCUGUCCCUACCCUGCCCUUCCUUAGAGUUGGCUGAUUGCUCUGGCCUAUGGUGGAACCAGGUUUACCAGGAAGACCAUGGCUGAGUGGACUCCCUUGUGCGCAGUGGGGGCCUGAGCUAUUGACUAGGUAAUAAGUACAAUGGACCCACCAAGCCAUAGCUGAAGCACUCAACUCCUGUGCUCAAAGGAGGCCUCCCAAAGCUCAGAGCGUGCUCCAGGCUUCCCUCAAGAGAAACCCAAGGAGAAAAGUUCACAGAACAUGGGAGAAGACCAUCAGAAGAAAGGAUUAGGAUGUCCCAGAGAGAGAACAUUUACACCAAGAAGAUCAGCUGAAAACAUGCUUCAGCAGAGGUGUACUGAAAAUUCUCAGAAUAAAAGAAAGAGACAGAAUCCAUUUGAAAGUAGAUGGUGCGAUAUGAAAGGCCAACCGGAAAACAAUUACUUCUGGUAGAAAAAGAAUCAUUGCAUCAGAUGUGGGGGAGUAGUUACAGGCACACUGUACAACAGAAAAGACU